rnacentral:rRNA from 1 species
UACGAAGGGGGCUAGCGUUGCUCGGAAUGACUGGGCGUAAAGGGCGCGUAGGCGGCGAUCACAGUCAGAUGUGAAAUUCCUGGGCUUAACCUGGGGGCUGCAUUUGAUACGUGGUUGCUUGAGUGGGGAAGAGGGUCGUGGAAUUCCCAGUGUAGAGGUGAAAUUCGUAGAUAUUGGGAAGAACACCGGUGGCGAAGGCGGCGACCUGGUCCUUGACUGACGCUGAGGAGCGAAGGCGUGGGGAGCGAACAGG